AUUGAACGCUGGCGGCAGGCCUAACACAUGCAAGUCGGCCGGUAGCACAGGGGAGCUUGCUCCUCGGGUGACGAGUGGCGGACGGGUGAGUAAUGUCUGGGGAUCUGCCGGAUAGAGGGGGAUAACCACUGGAAACGGUGGCUACUACCGCAUAACGUCGCAAGACCAAACAGGGGGACCUUAGGGACUCUAACUAUCGGAUGAACCAAGAGUGGAUUAGCUAGUAGGCGGGGUAACGGUGCACCUAGGCGACGAUCCCUAGAUGGUCUGAGAGGAUGACCAGCCACACUGGAACUGAGACACGGUCCCGACCCCUACGGGAGGCAGCAGUUGGUAAUAGUGCAAAAUGGGCGCAAGCGUGAUGCAGCCAUGCCGCGUGUAUGAAGAAGGCCUUCGGGUUGUAAAGUACUUUCAGCGGGGAGGAAGGCGAUGUGGUUAAUAACCGCGUCGAUUGACGUUCCCCGCAGAAGAAGCACCGGCUAACUCCGUGCCAGCCGCCGCGGUAA
rnacentral:rRNA from 1 species